AACACACCUGUGACGAUGACGAAGGCAGAGCAAUUAACGACACCUGGCAGAAGGAGCCGGCCAAGGUGCCGGGCACAGAGGGGCAGGGCCGCACGACACCCAGAAACCCAACUGGCUGAUAUCACAUGCCCCGCCUUGGAGCAGACUGGGACUGGAGCCAAGGAAGAGGAAGCGAAGAGGAGGCAGCUGAGAGUUUCCUCUAGGACGACGGAAAAGGCGCAGGAAGGGCUGCCUUUAAAUCCCUGGGUGCCUCUGGACAGCCCUGCCAAGCAGCAGGGCAGCAAACCUGUGCCAGCCUGCAAUGUGAAGCCCUAAAGCUUUGGCAUCUCUGCUGGGCUCUGAGCCAGGUGCCUGGCAGGGCCCCAAGAACUACUUUCAGCAAAUCUUCAGGCAACGCCGAAGGUGGUGAGAAGCAGGAGGCAGAGCGAGAAGGCAGGAAUGGAGGGGCCCCCUAGAGGCACCAGCUUAAGAGGAAGGUUCACGAGCUCAGGAGGACUUGGGGGAGUGCUGCAAGAUGGUGCGAGAAAUGGAGAAGGAAGACAGAACGGGGAAGAAUGGCUCCUCCGUUGACGGAGAUGCGGAAUGGCUCCAGAGUCAGAGGGCUUCCUGAGUCUUCCGGAGUCUAACUGAAGAUCCGGUUGCAGCAGAAGCCCAUUUCUUUCAGCCUUGCCCACCAUGCCUGCCACCCGACCUCCACCUGUCCCCCGAGUGGGGGGCUCCCUGGCUCUAAGACAGCUCCCACCAGCCAUUUUCUUCUCCAGAGAAAGCAUUUUCAGUUCUUUCAA